UACGUAGGGCGCAAGCGUUGUCCGGAAUUAUUGGGCGUAAAGAGCUCGUAGGCGGCUUGUCGCGUCGAUUGUGAAAGCCCGGGGCUUAACUCCGGGUCUGCAGUCGAUACGGGCAGGCUAGAGUGUGGUAGGGGAGAUCGGAAUUCCUGGUGUAGCGGUGAAAAUGCGCAGAUAUCAGGAGGAACACCGGUGGCGAAGGCGGAUCUCUGGGCCAUUACUGACGCUGAGGAGCGAAAGCGUGGGGAGCGAACAGG
rnacentral:rRNA from 1 species